AUACGAAGGGGGCUAGCGUUGUUCGGAAUCACUGGGCGUAAAGCGUACGUAGGCGGAUGCUUAAGUCAGAGGUGAAAGCCUGGAGCUCAACUCCAGAACUGCCUUUGAUACUGGGCGUCUUGAGUCCGGGAGAGGUGAGUGGAACUGCUAGUGUAGAGGUGAAAUUCGUAGAUAUUAGCAAGAACACCAGUGGCGAAGGCGGCUCACUGGCCCGGUACUGACGCUGAGGUACGAUAGCGUGGGGAGCAAACAGGAUUAGAUACCCUGGUAGUCCACGCCGUAAACGAUGGAAGCCAGCCGUUGGCCAGCAUGCUGGUCGGUGGCGCAGCUAACGCAUUAAGCUUCCCGCCUGGGGAGUACGGUCGCAAGAUUAAA
rnacentral:rRNA from 1 species